CGGUAAUUCCAGCUCCAAUAGCGUAUACUAAAGUUGUUGCAGUUAAAAAGCUCGUAGUUGGAUUUCUGCGGGGACGGAGCGGCCGGACGCAACUUGCGUCUCGAGCUAGCGCUUUCCCCACAUCCUGCCGCGAACCGUGCUACCAUUAGUUUGGUGGCGCUGGGGAUCGGCUCGAUUACUUUGAGAAAAAUAGAGUGUUCAAAGCAGGCCACACGCCUUGAAUAAGUUAGCAUGGAAUAAUGACUAAGGACUUUGGUUCUUUUCGUUGGUGUUCGGGACUGAAGUAAUGAUUGAUAGGGACAGUUGGGGCGGUCCGUAUUCCAAAGCGAGAGGUGAAAUUCUUAGACCUUCGGAAGACGAACAGCUGCGAAAGCGUUCCGCAAGGAUGUUCCCUUUGAUCAAGAACGAAAGUUGGGGGAUCGAAGACGAUCAGAUACCGUCGUAGUCUCAACUAUAAACUAUACCAGCUAGGGAUCGGCCAACGUUUAAUUAUUCGACUUGGUCGGCACCUUAUGAGAAAUCAAAGCAUCUGGGUUCCGGGGGGAGUAUGGUCGCAAGGCUGAAACUUAAAGGAAUUGACGGAAGGGCACCACCAGGCGUGGAGCCUGUGGCUUAAUUUGACUCAACACGGGAAAACUUACCAGGUCCAGACAUAGGAAGGAUUGACAGAUUGAUAGCUCUUUCUUGAUUCUGUGGGUGGUGGUGCAUGGCCGUUUUUAGUCGGUGAAGUGAUUUGUCUGCUUAAUUGCGUUAACGGACGAGACCCCAGCCUGCUAAAUAGCGCGGCCGAGCUUUGCUCGGUACGAGCUUCUUAGAGGGACCAUGAUGCGCGAUAGCACAAGGAAGUUUGGGGCAACAACAGGUCUGUGAUGCCCUUAGAUGUUCUGGGCCGCACACGGGCUACACUGGCGCCUGCAACGAGCAUAUCAGCUGGCCCGAGAGGGUCUUGGCUAAUCUUUGGAACCGGCGCCGUGCUUGGGAUUGACCAUUGCAAUUGUUGGUCAUGCAACGAGGAAUGCCUUGUAAACGCGAGUCAUCAGCUCGCAUUGAAUACGUCCCUGCCCUUUGUACACACCGCCCGUCGCUCCUACCGAUGAAUGUUCCGAUGAAAUUUUCGGAGAGCGCCGGAGAGCGGGGCUCUGCCCUGCAGAACUGGAGGCUCAAAGUCACUUAAAUCUGAACAUUUCGAGGAAGGAGAAGUCGUAACAAGGUAACC
rnacentral:rRNA from 1 species